AGUAUUUUAUUUUAUUUUUCGUUUUAUUUUUUCUUCUCCUGAUAAUUCAAUACUAUAGUCUCAACUCACUACAUCAAGUGAGGAUCAAAUUUGGAAAUAAAGACAAGCAACUGAAAAAAUCUUCUAUAAUAGUUUGCUUUAUUCUUAGAAUCGCAUGUCUAAUGACCCAAAAAAAAAAGAGAGGAUCUGUUUUUUGUUUAGCGGUGAAGAUAAUUUAUAGUUAGCUUGAGAAAAAGA